CUGGAACGCGCCCCAGGCGCACCCAGAAACCCUUUGUGAACUUAUACCUUACUGUUGCCUCGGCGCAUGCCGGCCCCCCCGGGGGCCCCUCGGAGACGAGGAGCAGGCACGCCGGCGGCCAAGUUAACUCUUGUUUUUACACUGAAACUCUGAGAAAAAAAAACACAAAUGAAUCAAAACUUUCAACAACGGAUCUCUUGGUUCUGGCAUCGAUGAAGAACGCAGCGAAAUGCGAUAAGUAAUGUGAAUUGCAGAAUUCAGUGAAUCAUCGAAUCUUUGAACGCACAUUGCGCCCUCUGGUAUUCCGGAGGGCAUGCCUGUUCGAGCGUCAUUUCAACCCUCAAGCAUUGCUUGGUGUUGGGGCACUGCUUUUUACCCAAAAGCAGGCCCUGAAAUCUAGUGGCGAGCUCGCCAGGACCCCGAGCGCAGUAGUUAAACCCUCGCUUUGGAAGGCCCUGGCGGUGCCCUGCCGUUAAACCCCCAACUUUUGAAAAU
rnacentral:rRNA from 1 species